rnacentral:tRNA from 1 species
AGUUAAUCAGCUAACUAAGAAGCAUUUAUGUUUUGAAAACAUAACAAAGAAGUUCAACUCUUCUAUUAACUU